GAGGACGACUGUGCAGCAGAGAGGCUGCUGAGUGGUUUCAUUCUCCUGCAUUGGAAGAACAUUGUUCAUCUGUUUGGCUUCAACUACGAAGACUAAGACAUGUUGCUUCACCUCUUUGUGUUUCUCUCUCCCUUCAUAGCCAUGGGUUCCAUGUACAGCAUAACACCAGAAAGUACUGAAGAAGUAGUUUCAGAGGGAAGACACAUCAACCUGACCUGUAAAUAUGACGGAUCCAUCACCAACAUCCAGUGGUACCGACAACAGCAGAGAUCCAGACCAGAGUUCCUGCUCUUCAUCACAGAGGAAGGAUCCAUUCAUCCAACUCUGUCUGAUUUCUCUGCUCACAUCAACCAGACUGAGAAACGAGUCAAACUGCAGAUCUCCUCUGCUGCAGUGACAGACUCUGCUGUGUACUACUGUGCUCUGCAGCCCACAGUGACAGGAAACUACACAACUCUGUACAAAAACCUGUGGAGCAAACACACAACUCCUCAUCCUCCACUGGAGGGAGUCAUAUUUGAUCAGACUCUCUUUCCUCACCAGUAG